GACGAACGCUGGCGGCGUGCCUAAUACAUGCAAGUAGAACGCUGAAGAGAGGAGCUUGCUCUUCUUGGAUGAGUUGCGAACGGGUGAGUAACGCGUAGGUAACCUGCCUUGUAGCGGGGGAUAACUAUUGGAAACGAUAGCUAAUACCGCAUAACAAUGGAUGACACAUGUCAUUUAUUUGAAAGGGGCAAUUGUUCCACUACAAGAUGGACCUGCGUUGUAUUAGCUAGUAGGUGAGGUAAUGGCUCACCUAGGCGACGAUACAUAGCCGACCUGAGAGGGUGAUCGGCCACACUGGGACUGAGACACGGCCCAGACUCCUACGGGAGGCAGCAGUAGGGAAUCUUCGGCAAUGGGGGCAACCCUGACCGAGCAACGCCGCGUGAGUGAAGAAGGUUUUCGGAUCGUAAAGCUCUGUUGUAAGUCAAGAACGGGUGUGAGAGUGGAAAGUUCACACUGUGACGGUAGCUUACCAGAAAGGGACGGCUAACUACGUGCCAGCAGCCGCGGUAAUACGUAGGUCCCGAGCGUUGUCCGGAUUUAUUGGGCGUAAAGCGAGCGCAGGCGGUUUGAUAAGUCUGAAGUUAAAGGCUGUGGCUCAACCAUAGUUCGCUUUGGAAACUGUCAAACUUGAGUGCAGAAGGGGAGAGUGGAAUUCCAUGUGUAGCGGUGAAAUGCGUAGAUAUAUGGAGGAACACCGGUGGCGAAAGCGGCUCUCUGGUCUGUAACUGACGCUGAGGCUCGAAAGCGUGGGGAGCGAACAGGAUUAGAUACCCUGGUAGUCCACGCCGUAAACGAUGAGUGCUAGGUGUUGGGUCCUUUCCGGGAUUCAGUGCCGCAGCUAACGCAUUAAGCACUCCGCCUGGGGAGUACGACCGCAAGGUUGAAACUCAAAGGAAUUGACGGGGGCCCGCACAAGCGGUGGAGCAUGUGGUUUAAUUCGAAGCAACGCGAAGAACCUUACCAGGUCUUGACAUCCCGAUGCUAUUUCUAGAGAUAGAAAGUUACUUCGGUACAUCGGUGACAGGUGGUGCAUGGUUGUCGUCAGCUCGUGUCGUGAGAUGUUGGGUUAAGUCCCGCAACGAGCGCAACCCCUAUUGUUAGUUGCCAUCAUUCAGUUGGGCACUCUAGCGAGACUGCCGGUAAUAAACCGGAGGAAGGUGGGGAUGACGUCAAAUCAUCAUGCCCCUUAUGACCUGGGCUACACACGUGCUACAAUGGUUGGUACAACGAGUUGCGAGUCGGUGACGGCGAGCUAAUCUCUUAAAGCCAAUCUCAGUUCGGAUUGUAGGCUGCAACUCGCCUACAUGAAGUCGGAAUCGCUAGUAAUCGCGGAUCAGCACGCCGCGGUGAAUACGUUCCCGGGCCU
rnacentral:rRNA from 1 species